rnacentral:rRNA from 1 species
AGAGUUUGAUCCUGGCUCAGGAUGAACGCUAGCGACAGGCUUAACACAUGCAAGUCGAGGGGCAGCAUAAAAGUAGCAAUACUUUGGUGGCGACCGGCGCACGGGUGAGUAACGCGUAUGCAACCUACCUAUCAGAGGGGAAUAACCCGGCGAAAGUCGGACUAAUACCGCAUAAAACAGGGGCACCGCAUGGUGAUAUUUGUUAAAGAAAUUCGCUGAUAGAUGGGCAUGCGUUCCAUUAGGUAGUUGGUGAGGUAACGGCUCACCAAGCCGACGAUGGAUAGGGGAACUGAGAGGUUGGUCCCCCACACUGGUACUGAGACACGGACCAGACUCCUACGGGAGGCAGCAGUGAGGAAUAUUGGUCAAUGGGCGAGAGCCUGAACCAGCCAAGUCGCGUGAAGGAAGAAGGAUCUAUGGUUCGUAAACUUCUUUUGCAGGGGAAUAAAGUGCAGGACGUGUCCUGUUUUGUAUGUACCCUGAGAAUAAGGAUCGGCUAACUCCGUGCCAGCAGCCGCGGUAAUACGGAGGAUCCGAGCGUUAUCCGGAUUUAUUGGGUUUAAAGGGUGCGUAGGUGGUUUGAUAAGUCAGCGGUGAAAGUUUGCAGCUUAACUGUAAAAAUGCCGUUGAAACUGUCGGACUUGAGUGUAAAUGAGGUAGGCGGAAUGCGUGGUGUAGCGGUGAAAUGCAUAGAUAUCACGCAGAACUCCGAUUGCGAAGGCAGCUUACUAAGCUACAACUGACACUGAAGCACGAAAGCGUGGGGAUCAAACAGGAUUAGAUACCCUGGUAGUCG